AACUUCUCUCUCAAGGGUAGACGGGCCUGCUGGGAUGCUCCGGGAGGACUUGGGACAGGCGCUGGGCGGGGUUUCGUCGUUCCGCGGAACGCCGGGAAGGGGUCACUUCCAGAUGAAGGUUCCGGUUCCGGUGCGGUUGGAGGUUGCGUUGCCACGGCAGCGCGGUUGGCCGGCCGCUGGUUUUUGCGUUCCGGGUGGUGGUGGGGCUGGAGCAGGCUUGGAUCCGCCGUUCCCGGCUUAGGUGAGCUUCCCGGAGCUUCAGUAUGGCCGCGGCUGUUCGCGGCGAGAGCAGGGACUGCGCCGGGCUCUGGCGGCCAGGCCUGCCCGGGGCUACGGCGUCGGGGCCCGGGCCGUGUGUCGCAGCCCUCCUGUGGUCCCGCUGCCCCCGUGAGAGCAGAGGCCCAGACCCCUUCCCGUGGUUCCCGCCUCUGCAGCGCGAUUAUUUCACUAAAACAACUUUGAUUUUUAAAGUUUGUAAAGAGCUCUCGUCUGUGUGAUCGGGGCUUCGCUGACUUUCCAGCCGACCUAAGCCCCUGGGCUUGGGCCCAGGAGAGGUUGAAUGGGGAACUAAGAAAGGAAUUGGUUCAUUCGACAGACGUUUUCUGAGCAGCUGCUGCGUGCAAGGCACGGUGCCGGCGCGGGACCUGUGCCCAGAGCUUGAGAAAUGAGAAGCAGAGUCAUUGAUUCCAGGUAAAUCAGAGGAACAAACAUCAUACAGAAAUAUACAGGACAGUAACAUACAGGAAGCGAUGUGAUGUCGAAGCUUAACUGUUGUUUCAAAAGUCCAGCGUCUGGUGCACCUAACAGUAGGGGCUGUAUUAUUUGCAAAGUCACCUAACUUUUACUCAUGCUUAUGUUCUGAUAGAUUCCAUGAUUCAAACUGUUAUUACAUUUCCAGCGACUUCUGAGAAGGUGCCCAGACCACAGAAUUCAGAAAGCAAGGAGCCAGUACUGUUGUGUGUCACACUUGUUAGGAAGAUUUAUCUGUUGGCAGGAGUCUGUGUCUUCCUCUGAUAAUCACUGAGCUUGCGGCCAGACGAACACUGAGAAAAUUUUAUUUUUUCCUUUGAAUGAUGGCUAAGAUGUAUUGCCAAGGCCAUAAAUAUUCGUUAUGUCAGAA